UACGGAGGGUGCGAGCGUUAUCCGGAAUUACUGGGUUUAAAGGGUGCGUAGGCGGCUUGUUAAGUCAGGAGUGAAAGUUUGCGGCUCAACCGUAAAAUUGCUUUUGAUACUGGCAGGCUAGAAUCAGGAUGAGGUAGGCGGAAUGGACGGUGUAGCGGUGAAAUGCUUAGAUAUCGUCCAGAACACCGAUAGCGAAGGCAGCUUACUAAAGAGUAACUGACGCUGAGGCACGAAAGUGUGGGGAUCAAACAGG
rnacentral:rRNA from 1 species